rnacentral:rRNA from 1 species
GAUCUCGACUGCUGGAAUGCAUCGAGAUCUAAAGCUCCGGCGCCUAAGGAUGGGUCUGCGGCCUAUCAGGUAGUAGUGGGUGUAGCGUACCUACUAGCCUACGACGGGUACGGGUUGUGAGAGCAAGAGCCCGGAGAUGGAUUCUGAGACACGAAUCCAGGCCCUACGGGGUGCAGCAGGCGCGAAAACUUUACAAUGCUGGAAACAGCGAUAAGGGGACCUCGAGUGCCAGGUUACAAAUCUGGCUGUCGUGAUGCCUAAAAAGCAUUGCAUAGCAAGGGCCGGGCAAGACCGGUGCCAGCCGCCGCGGUAACACCGGCGGCUCGAGUGGUAACCGUUAUUAUUGGGUCUAAAGGGUCUGUAGCCGGCCGGAUAAGUCUCUUGGGAAAUCCAGCAGCUCAACUGUUGGGCUUUCAGGAGAUACUGUCUGGCUCGAGGCCGGGAGAGGUGAGAGGUACUUCAGGGGUAGGGGUGAAAUCUUGUAAUCCUUGAAGGACCACCAGUGGCGAAGGCGUCUCACCAGAACGGACCUGACGGCAAGGGACGAAAGCUGGGGGAGCGAACCGGAUUAGAUACCCGGGUAGUCCCAGCUGUAAACGAUGCAGGCUAGGUGUUUGGACGGCCACGUGCCGUUCUAGUGCCGCAGGGAAGCUGUUAAGCCUGCCGCCUGGGGAGUACGAUCGCAAGAUUGAAACUUAAAGGAAUUGGCGGGGGAGCACCACAAGGGGUGAAGCCUGCGGUUUAAUUGGA